rnacentral:snRNA from 1 species
GGAUGUGAGGGCGAUCUGGCUGCGACAUCUGUCACCCCAUUGAUCGCCAGGGUUGAUUCGGCUGAUCUGGCUGGCUAGGCGGGUGUCCCCUUCCUCCCUCACCGCUCCAUGUGCGUCCCUCCCGAAGCUGCGCAAUCCCCGAUAGAGGAGGACCGUUCUUCGGUCAAGGGUAUACGAGUAGCUGCGCUCCCCUGCUAGAACCUCCAAACAAGCUCUCAAGUAGUGAUGAAUGUUAUGCCAAAAUCAAAUGGUGAAAUGAAGAGUAAAUGGAAAUCAGGUCUAGUUU